UCCAUUCCAUUAUAUUAUCUUCAAUUCUUGUUGUUUCUGCUAUUCUAGUUUACAGAUUUUGAUGAAGAUUUGUAUUGUUAUAUUUCUGCUGAUGCUGUCUCUGAACUUGAGCAUUUAAACGAGAUUGAAAAUAUGAGAGGUUAGUUACUAUUUUCUUUGGAUCUGCUAUGGUCGGUAAGUUACUAUUUUCUUCCAUAGUUUCUAAUUUCAUCAUCAGCUGCUGCACCACUUUCCAGCCAUAAGACUUGGGUCAUUCUUUGUAGAAGUGUUAGGAUACACACUACCCCAUUCGAUCGAUAGGAAUUGUGUCCCCAUCUAUCGCUUCCAUCAGCUGGUUACUAUAGGUUUAUUAUUUUAGUAUCUAGUUGCUAUUUUUGAUUUGGGCUUGCUCUCUGUGAUCUGAUGAUCAGUUUCUGUGAUAAUUUAGGGUUCUUCUAUUGUGUUAAAGGCCUGUUAAUGAUAUCAGUUUAAGGGUAUUCUAUCCUAGGGUUUGUGGUUUUACAUAGUUACUAAUUAUGUACAACAAGUUUCUAUUUACUUUGAUCUGAUGUAAUUGUCAAUCCAACUGUUGGAUUGGUACCAUCUUUGGGGGUACAACAUGUUGCUGAUAUUGUGAUUCAAUUUUUUUUUUUCCUUAAGCCCUUUGGGUUGCUGGAUCUCAGUCCAAUGAUUUGCAGAAGGUCUACAACAGAUUCUACUCAUAGUAUCUCAAUGUUUUUGAAGCCACUACUAGUUAACUUUUGUUCUUGCUACGUGGGUGUUGAAACUGAUAUGAUUUUGGUUUAAGGUUCCAUUUUUCUCGUUCAGCUUCAUCCCAAGCCAUGGCCGGGUCUCUAAUGGACUGGGCUUCCCUACUUGCUCACCAUGCUUAUACUCAAAUACCUUGCAAGCAUUGGCUUCUUCUUCUUCUCUGUUAGACCACCUGGUUGCUCCCCCUAUCCUGCCAAAACCCACAGCUUCAUUUCUACUCAAAUACCCAUACUGUGGGUCAAAUUUUUUUUGCAAGAAUUCGUGAUGAGAAGGUAAUUAUUGAUAAGAUUAUAACUAAAAAAUGAAAUGGUUCUGUUAUUCAUUUCUAUUUUGGUAUGAAGUUUCUAAUUAUGACAUUUAUAAUGUGAAAAUAGCAUAAAGAAAUUGGAGUGGAGUUAGACUAUGAGACUUAUAUAUAAUUACUCAUAAACGCAGAGACAGGGAUCCUCUAGAUGACAUUGCACGAGCUAUGAUUGAUAAAACUGAGAGAAAAAAAUCAGAAUCCAAUACCUCCCAAAACACGAGUGAGAAUAUCACUUGGGAUAAUGACAUUUAUUCUCAAGUGAAGAAAAAAGAUAAAUAUGGACGUGUUUUUGGGUUAGGAUUGCUUCCUACAACUUCUUCAACUUAUUGUCUCCUUGGAGAAAUUGGGACAAGUUUUGAAUAUGAUUAAAGGGUGCUUUCACUGGAAAAUAAGGUUGAUACGAUGCAAACCUUAAUUGAAAAACUUGUGUCAACCAUUUAAGAUUUAUGUCCUGAGUUGGACAUGGAAGAUUGUACACUCCCUCCUUCACAGUCGAUGGAACAGGUAUUCGGUACUUUUAAUGGUCAAAAUGAGUUAUCACAACAAGGAAAUAACUCAGAAAUUCAAAUAUAGAGCUUGGGAGGCUUGGACCUGAAGAAGGAGCACUUAAAAACUAGUGGAGUCUAAUAGUUUUUUUUUUUUUUACCAUACAAUUUGAAUUCUUAAAGUAUGAUGGAGUUUAAUUUUUUUAUAUAAGAUUUGGAAUUUGUUAUUUUGCAUACAAUUGAUUGGGAAGAUGAUCAUGGAUUUUAUUUGGUUGGUAAACAGGAUUUAUACAGUUAUGUAUUUUUUUUUAAUAUAUAAGUUACUAUAUUGUGUAUUGGAUCGAUUAUAUAAGUUCAAUAAACAUUCACAAUUAAAAUUCACA